UUAACCUGGUUGAUCCUGCCAGUUGUCAUAUGCUUGUCUCAAAGACUAAGCCAUGCAUGUCUAAGUAUUAGCUUUAAUACGGUGAAACUGCGAAUGGCUCAUUAAAACAGUUAUAGUUUAUUUGAUAGUACCUCACUACGUGGAUAACCGUAGUAAUUCUAGAGCUAAUACAUGCGCAAAUACCCGACUUCGCG
rnacentral:rRNA from 1 species